rnacentral:lncRNA from 1 species
AUGAAAAACUGGGACGACACGAGCUCUAAAGACAUUGAUUUAGGACCCAAGCUAGUUGGACAUCUCAGUAUCGAAGAAAAAAAUAAUGUACUACAGAGCUGAAACAGUCUCUUCCCAUUAGUCUAAGAGACGUUCCUGAAACACAGCUGAGCCAGUGCCUUGCAUGUAAAGAAAAUGUGUCUUUUAUCCAAGAUGUCAGUUCUUUCCCUAACAGCAAAUUUCACAUCCCACCUUCCCUUCUGGAACAUAAAUGCCUUCCAAAGAUGCAUAUUUAAAAAAAAAAUAAAAAAAUUUCCACAUCUCAUUUUUAAAGUAACAACUAGAAGUCUCUAGAUUAGUUUUUUCCUAAGAGGUGGCAAACCUAACUCUGAAGGAUUUUGUUGUUUGCUUAUCUAGACAUCUUCUAACACCCAUCCCUUCAGCUUGGCACAACCUCACCUAACUAACAUGCAUCAGAGCAAUCUGCAUCUCCAAAUGAGCCUCGCACAGCUUCAGUGUCAGACUAGCAGCAAGCUGUAGAUGUCAUCACAACAAACCUGUUGUUGUGACGACAGAAGAUCCACAGCAUCUAAAGGGCUGGAUUCCAAGCUGAUGUUGGAGGCUGGUGAGGAGCAACCAACCCAUUUUCCACUCAGAAAGUAAACACUGGCCAAUCUUACGUCAACAGGACUAACCAACUGAAGGGGAAUGAAAACAACAAAAGGAAGAAAAAGAAAAAAAUCCAUGCAGAUUGCACUGCUUUUUCUUCAGCUAGAAAGACCAAAUGUUCCCAGCUUCCUCACAGGGGAAAUGAUUUUAUGUGCUAAUGUUGGAGAAGAGGUUUGGAGACUGCCUCAGUUAAUGGAGUCAUGUAAGGCCAUGACAUUCCUGGCGAUUCCUAGAUCUCCGGAUUCCUGCCUCCUCCUCCCGUUGUUGCUAGCACACAACUCCGUCUGGAGCCGGAUUUAAUUAGACCACAAGAAAAAUGAACCGCAAUGAAGUUACAUCAGGGGUGUGACUUCAAUCCACAAGAGCCAGGAAAUACAGAAGACUUUUUUUUUUUUUA